UACGUAGGGUCCGAGCGUUGUCCGGAAUUACUGGGCGUAAAGCGCGCGCAGGCGGCCCGCGAGGUGUCACGUGAAAGCCCCGGGCUCAACCCGGGAGGGUCGUGGCAAACCGGCGGGCUUGAGGCCGGUAGAGGUGGGUGGAACUCCUGGUGGAGUGGUGAAAUGCGUAGAGAUCAGGAAGAACACCCGUGGCGAAGGCGGCCCACUAGGCCGGUACUGACGCUGAGGCGCGAAGGCGUGGGGAGCGAACGGG
rnacentral:rRNA from 1 species